GAUGAACGCUGGCGGCGUGCCUAAUACAUGCAAGUCGAGCGAACGGACGAGAAGCUUGCUUCUCUGAUGUUAGCGGCGGACGGGUGAGUAACACGUGGAUAACCUACCUAUAAGACUGGGAUAACUUCGGGAAACCGGAGCUAAUACCGGAUGAUAUUUUGAACCGCAUGGUUCAAAAGUGAAAGACGGUCUUGCUGUCACUUAUAGAUGGAUCCGCGCUGCAUUAGCUAGUUGGUAAGGUAACGGCUUACCAAGGCAACGAUGCAUAGCCGACCUGGGAGGGUGACCGGCCACACUGGAACUGAGACACGGUCCAGACUCCUACGGGAGGCAGCAGUAGGGAAUCUUCCGCAAUGGGCGAAAGCCUGACGGAGCAACGCCGCGUGAGUGAUGAAGGUCUUCGGAUCGUAAAACUCUGUUAUUAGGGAAGAACAUAUGUGUAAGUACCUGUGCACAUCUUGACGGUACCUAAUCAGAAAGCCACGGCUAACUACGUG
rnacentral:rRNA from 1 species